UUAGAGUUUGAUCCUGGCUCAGGACGAACGCUGGCGGCGUGCCUAAUACAUGCAAGUCGAACGCACUCUCGUUUAGAUUGAAGGAGCUUGCUCCUGAUUGAUAAACAUUUGAGUGAGUGGCGGACGGGUGAGUAACACGUGGGUAACCUGCCCUAAAGUGGGGGAUAACAUUUGGAAACAGNUGCUAAUACCGCAUAAAACCUAACACCGCAUGGUGUAGGGUUGAAAGAUGGUUUCGGCUAUCACUUUAGGAUGGACCCGCGGUGCAUUAGUUAGUUGGUGAGGUAAAGGCUCACCAAGACCGUGAUGCAUAGCCGACCUGAGAGGGUAAUCGGCCACACUGGGACUGAGACACGGCCCAGACUCCUACGGGAGGCAGCAGUAGGGAAUCUUCCACAAUGGACGAAAGUCUGAUGGAGCAACGCCGCGUGAGUGAAGAAGGUUUUCGGAUCGUAAAACUCUGUUGUUGGAGAAGAAUGUAUCUGAUUUUAACUGAUCAGGUAGUGAUCGUCCACC
rnacentral:rRNA from 2 species